UGACGGUAUCAUAUGAAUAAGCACCGGCUAACUCCGUGCCAGCAGCCGCGGUAAUACGGGGGGUGCAAGCGUUACUCGGAAUCACUGGGCGUAAAGAGCAUGUAGGCGGGUGAAUAAGUUGGAAGUGAAAUCCUAUAGCUUAACUAUAGAACUGCUUCCAAAACUGUUCACCUAGAGUAUGGGAGAGGUAGAUGGAAUUUCUGGUGUAGGGGUAAAAUCCGUAGAGAUCAGAAGGAAUACCGAUUGCGAAGGCGAUCUACUGGAACAUUACUGACGCUCAGAUGCGAAAGCGUGGGGAGCAAACAGGAUUAGAUACCCUGGUAGUCCACGCCCUAAACGAUGUACACUAGUUGUUGCUAUACUAGAUAUGGCAGUAAUGCAGUUAACACUUUAAGUGUACCGCCUGGGGAGUACGGUCGCAAGAUUAAAACUCAAAGGAAUAGACGGGGACCCGCACAAGCGGUGGAGCAUGUGGUUUAAUUCGACGAUACGCGAAAAACCUUACCUGGCCUUGACAUAGUAGGAAUCUUUAAGAGAUUAGAGAGUGCUAGCUUGCUAGAACCUACAUACAGGUGCUGCACGGC
rnacentral:rRNA from 1 species